AUUGAACGCUGGCGGCAAGCCUUACACAUGCAAGUCGAACGGCAGCGGGCCCUUGGUGGUUCCUUCGAGUGGCGAACGGGUGAGUAAUGCAUCUGAACGUACCCGGGAGAGGGGGAUAACCGGCCGAAAUGCUGGCGAAUACCGCAUGAACUCAGAAUAGCAAAGCGGGGGAGCUUCGGGCCUCGCGCUCUCGGAGCGGCCUAUGCCCGAUUGGGCUAGUUGGUGGGGUAAAGGCCCACCAAGGCGACGAUCGGUAGCGGGUCUGAGAGGACGAUCCGCCACACUGGGACUGAGACACGGCCCAGACUCCUACGGGAGGCAGCAGUGGGGAAUAUUGGACAAUGGGCGCAAGCCUGAUCCAGCAAUGCCGCGUGGGUGAAGAAGGCCUUCGGGUUGUAAAGCCCUUUCGGCGGGGAAGAAAUCGGUCAGGCGAAUAGUCUGGCCGGAUGACGGUACCCGCAGAAGAAGCACCGGCUAACUACGUG
rnacentral:rRNA from 1 species